GCGUUUGUCAAAAAAGUAAAUAAAAUAAAUACAGGAGGAAAAUUUAUUUGUUGUUCUCGAAAUUCUUUGUAAAACUUGGAAGAACGCAGGCAGCAAAUUGCGAUAAAAUGGUAGAGAAGUGAAAAGUAGUUGGAGGAAGACAAGGUUUGUCCCACAUCUGCAGAAUAAAUUGCAACAAUAGAAGUGCAACACAGAAAAGAGUUGCAUGCUAUUCAGAUGGACAAUGAGCUCCAGUGAAAUAAAAAAAU
rnacentral:lncRNA from 1 species